rnacentral:lncRNA from 1 species
CCGAAUCUUAUGAAGCAAAUCGAUUAAGGAACCUCUUCUAUCUUGAUCAAAUCUUUCACUAUGAAUCAAGAUAAGGUUUCAUAAAUAUUAUAAAAAUUUUAAUUGCUAAUCUAUUCAAUUUUUUUUCAGACAUUUGAUGCGAUCAGAUAAUUUUUCCUUCAAGUGGUAUCAGAGCCAGACUGUAUGUCAUGAUCACAUAACA